GACGAACGCUGGCGGCGUGCUUAACACAUGCAAGUCGAACGGAAAGGCCCUGCUUUUGUGGGGUGCUCGAGUGGCGAACGGGUGAGUAGCACGUGAGUAACCUGCCCUUGACUUUGGGAUAACUUCAGGAAACUGGGGCUAAUACCGGAUAGGAGCUCCUGCUGCAUGGUGGGGGUUGGAAAGUUUCGGCGGUUGGGGAUGGACUCGCGGCUUAUCAGCUUGUUGGUGGGGUAGUGGCUUACCAAGGCUUUGACGGGUAGCCGGCCUGAGAGGGUGACCGGCCACAUUGGGACUGAGAUACGGCCCAGACUCCUACGGGAGGCAGCAGUGGGGAAUAUUGCACAAUGGGCGGAAGCCUGAUGCAGCAACGCCGCGUGCGGGAUGACGGCCUUCGGGUUGUAAACCGCUUUCGCCUGUGACGAAGCGUGAGUGACGGUAAUGGGUAAAGAAGCACCGGCUAACUAUGUG
rnacentral:rRNA from 1 species